GCCCCGUAUGUCCAUCCUAAUGGACGGCGCUGAUUGGCGGGAUGUUAGGCGAGUGGUGAUUGAUUGGCUGCCUUGGCGGAGAGUGGGGAGAAGUGACUGAUGGUAUCCAUGGCGGAAGGCUAAGACAUGGAUGACCUGAACCUUCACUACCGAUUUCUCAACUGGAGACGCCGAAUCCGGGAAAUCCGUGAGGUGCGAGCUGUUCGAUACCAGGAGAGGGCCAAGCACAUUAUGGUAGAUGGGGAUACCCUAAGUUACCACGGGAACUCCGGGGAGGUUGGCUGCUACGUCGCUCCACGACCACUAAGUAAAGACAAUAACUACUUUGAGGUGUCCAUUGUAGAUCGUGGCGUUCGAGGGACAAUUGCUGUAGGAUUAGUACCACAAUAUUACAGUCUGGAUCACCAGCCAGGUUGGCUGCCGGAUUCCGUGGCUUACCAUGCGGAUGAUGGCAAGCUUUAUAAUGGGAGAGCAAAAGGACGGCAGUUUGGUACAAAGUGCAGCUCAGGCGAUCGGAUCGGUUGUGGUAUAGAGCCCAGUUCUUUCCAUGUGCAGACAGCUCAGAUUUUCUUCACAAAAAACGGAAAACGGGUUGGCAGCACUGUGAUGCCCUUGUCUCCCGAUGGCCUGUUCCCAGCUGUGGGGAUGCACUCUCUAGGUGAAGAAGUGCGCCUACAUUUAAAUGCAGAACUUGGCUGCGAGGAUGAUGAUAGCAUAAUGAUGGUGGACAGUUACGAGGACGAGUGGGGGAGGCUACAUGAUGUCAGAGUUUCUGGCACGCUCCUAGAAUAUGUUGGGAAAGGGAAAAGUAUAAUAGACGUGGGUCUGGCACAGGCCCGUCAUUCUCUCAGCACUCGGAGUCAUUACUUUGAGGUGGAAAUCGUUGACCCUGGAGAGAAAUGCUAUAUUGCUUUAGGACUAGCGAGGAAGGAUUACCCAAAAAACAGGCACCCAGGAUGGAGCCGGGGUUCUGUUGCCUACCAUGCAGAUGACGGAAAGAUCUUUCAUGGAAGUGGAGUUGGGGAUCCUUUUGGUCCACGCUGUUAUAAAGGAGAUAUAAUGGGCUGUGGAAUAAUGUUUCCAAGAGACUAUAUUCUUGACAGUGAAGGAGAAAGCGAUGACAGCAGUGACAUGAAGGAAAUGAGGCUGCAGCCACGUGGGGUUAGGAAUGUUAUGUACCUCAGGCGAGAGCAGCAGCAAGAUGAAGAUGGGGAGGAGGAAGAUGAGGAAGAAGAGGAGGACAUUGAGCGGGAUCAUGAGGGCAGAAAAGUUGUGGUUUUCUUCACAAGGAAUGGGAAGAUCAUUGGAAAGAAGGAAUCCAUUUUGCCUCAGGGAGGCUUCUAUCCCACCAUAGGAAUGCUGAGCAGUGGAGAGAAAGUCAAAGUGGACCUGCACCCACUGAGUGGGUGAACAAUUGACAUCCAUGGGAAAGCACACCGCAUUCAUUCGCCAUCUUUCCCAUACCACAACACCCCCUCCCCCCCCCCCCCCAGUCAUGCACGAUUUGCACGUGGGCUUGUGAUAGUGCUUCUUCGUGUCUGGAAACCUGUCUCAGUGGCUGUUGCUUGUCAAUGUGGGCUCCGCAGUGCUCAUUGCCUGUAUAUUUUGGCAUAGCAGAAGACAUGAUGGGACAGGAAACAAGAGGAUGUUGAAGUACCUGUUUGGUCCUUUAUGUUACAGACGCAGGGUGUCUGUAUCCCAGGGAAGUUACUAUAGUGCAGUAGUAUAAUGUCCAGAUCUCUUCAUGGAGUAAAAUGGGCUAUGAGAAUAGCUGGAGGAUACAAUUCAUACAGCUGUAGUAAAAUGGAGUGCCACACCAAUGGCACCUAACAGACCCCAUUGACUUUUAAGAGGGCCUUUGGGUUUUGCUGUGUUGUCCUUUUGAUGGAAGAAAUAGCACUGUGUGAUGUGCUAUUAUUCCCAUUAAAUUGGACUGAAUCUGCAGUGUGUAAUGCAGAUGUGAACAGGGCGUUACUUCACAAAGCCUGGGAUCCGGUGCUAUAGAAGCCAAUGUAAUGUCUUUAAUCCACCUUUUUUCUGGUUCGUGCUCAUGCGAUUCAGAUGUCAGGUUGGAGUCCACAUUGCAUCCAGUUUCUAUAUUCGAUUCCUGUGGCGUUACAGCUGAUCAACAUAGGAGCGCUGAAUACAAUUCUGUAAUAAUCCUCAAUACUGCAUGUAUAAUCUGCACAAUAAUAAGGCAUUUCUGCCAGGUAAGAUGGCUAUAGUGCAAUAUUUUUCCAUGGUUAUUACACUAUUUAUGCCCAAUAUAGACUGGUCGCGCCCUGGUUGGGAAACACUGGACUUAGACCCAUCUUAUGAACUUUAGUCCAGUUCAGAUUGUAUGAAAUGCAGCGUAUCAUUUCUUAUACAUGUCACAGAUGGCACUAUUAGCAUGCAACAUAUUCAAAUGUACCUUCCCUCCACAUUAUUUCCUCUAAUGUGGUAAGAACCCGCUAUAUAUUUAGCGUAAAAGUGCUAGAACCCUUCCCUUGUGUCGCUGACCGGCUUCUAGCAGUCUCUUAUUAGCACUUAUUCCUCUACUUUGCUUUAAGCUUCUAUUCUGGAUACUGGCAGGGAAUAUCCAUGUAUCGUGUCCGGCACUGUAUAAAAUGAUGUAUAUGUGCUGAAAACAUGGCUGGUAUAUAGAACAUGGCAUAACUACCUCUAUUUCUGCUGCUACUUCUUCUGUGUCUGUCAUCUGGGCAUCUCUAUGGUCUGGUCUCCAGAGUUGGCGCUCUGCCAUGAUUUCCGGAGCAAUGCCUGAAGGGAGUUCAUGGUUUUCGGUGCCAUAUAUUGAUGGUUAGUGUUGGUUUAUAAGGAAAAGACUGUUCUAUAAAAAUCAGUUGUAAAGGUAAAUUUUGCUUUACAUUAAAUUUUUUUAAUGCAUUUUUCAGGAAAUGGUUGGGCUCUUAAAGGGAUAUGUAGUUUAUUUCAGGUCUUGUUUUAAAUGCUGCAAAGUAUCCCAGUAACUUAAGGGCUAUGUCCACCCUCAGACCCAUUUGUAUUUCUUGUUCUAAUGUAUCUAAAAUUAAAAAACGGUAAGACUGUAAAGCUCUGUGGAACUUGACCCUACAGCCAUACCACCUUUAAAGGGGUACUCCAGUGGAAAACUUUUUUUAUAUAUAUUUUUUUUUUUUAAAUCAACUGAUGCCAGAAAGUUAAACAG